CAAUCUAACUGUUUGAUUGAUUUCAAAUUUUUUAUAUAUAUUUACAACAAACACAACAACAAAACUCCUUAUUUUCAUUCAUACACAUACUACAAAAUUCACAAAAUCUUAAAAUUUAUAAACUUUUUUUUAUUUUUUUAAAUCUAAAUCCAUUGAAUACAUCAUUAAUUUUGGAAAUCUGUUAAAAUUUCAAUAUUAAUCCAAAUG
rnacentral:lncRNA from 1 species